AUUGAACGCUGGCGGCAGGCCUAACACAUGCAAGUCGAACGAGUGGCGGACGGGUGAGUAAUGUCUGGGAAACUGCCCGAUGGAGGGGGAUAACUACUGGAAACGGUAGCUAAUACCGCAUACCAUCGGAUGUGCCCAGAUGGGAUUAGCUAGUAGGUGGGGUAACGGCUCACCUAGGCGACGAUCCCUAGCUGGUCUGAGAGGGUGACCAGCCACAACGGAAAGUAGACACGGUCCAGACCCCUACGGGAGGGCGGAGUGGGGAAUAUUGCACAAUGGGGGCAAGCCUGAUGCAGCCAUGCCGGGUGGAUGAAGAAGGCCUUCGGGUUUGAAAGUACUUUCAGCGAGGAGGCGUUACUCGCAGAAGAAGCAUCGGCUAACUCCGUGCCAGCAGCCGCGGUAAUUC
rnacentral:rRNA from 1 species